rnacentral:rRNA from 1 species
AAUGAACGCUGGCGGCGUGCCUAACACAUGCAGGUCGAACGAGAAAGCCCGCAAGGGUGAGUACAGUGGCGCACGGGUGAGUAAUACAUAGGAAUCUGCCUCUGAGUGAAGAAUACCCUAGAGAAAUUUAGGUUAAUACUGCAUAAGCCCAGAAAUGGGGAAAGGUGGCCUCAAGCUACCGCUGAGAGAUGAGCCUAUGGCCUAUUAGCUAGUUGGUAGGGUAAAAGCCUACCAAGGCGAGGAUGGGUAGCCGGCCUGAGAGGGUGUACGGCCACACUGGAACUGAGACACGGCCCAGACUCCUACGGGAGGCAGCAGUGGGGAAUAUUGCGCAAUGGGCGAAAGCCUGACGCAGCAACGCCGCGUGCGGGAUGACGGCCUUCGGGUUGUAAACCGCUUUCAGCAGGGAAGAAGCCGCAAGGUGACGGUACCUGCAGAAGAAGCACCGGCUAACUACGUGCCAGCAGCCGCGGUAA